rnacentral:rRNA from 1 species
UUAUAAGAGACAGCAGUAGCCGCGGUAAUACAGAGGGUGCGAGCGUUAAUCGGAUUUACUGGGCGUAAAGCGUGCGUAGGCGGCUUCUUAAGUCGGAUGUGAAAUCCCUGAGCUUAACUUAGGAAUUGCAUUCGAUACUGGGAAGCUAGAGUAUGGGAGAGGAUGGUAGAAUUCCAGGUGUAGCGGUGAAAUGCGUAGAGAUCUGGAGGAAUACCGAUGGCGAAGGCAGCCAUCUGGCCUAAUACUGACGCUGAGGUACGAAAGCAUGGGGAGCAAACAGGAUUAGAUACCCCUGUAGUCCCUGUCUCUUAUAC